rnacentral:rRNA from 1 species
GAACGAGAAAGUGGAGCAAUCCAUGAGUACAGUGGCGACCGGGUGAGUAACACGUGACCAACCUGCCCUCGAGUGGGGAAUAACUCCGGGAAACCGGAGCUAAUACCGCAUAACAUCGCAAGAUCAAAGCCGCAAGGCGCUUGAGGAGGGGGUCGCGGCUGAUUAGCUAGUUGGUAGGGUAAUGGCCUACCAAGGCGAAGAUCGGUAGCCGGCCUGAGAGGGCGCACGGCCACACUGGAACUGAAACACGGUCCAGACUCCUACGGGAGGCAGCAGUGGGGAAUUUUGCGCAAUGGGGGAAACCCUGACGCAGCAACGCCGCGUGGAGGAUGAAGUCCCUUGGGACGUAAACUCCUUUCGACCGGGACGAUUAUGACGGUACCGGUGGAAGAAGCCCGGCUAACUUCGUG